GGUGGAGCGAUUUGUCUGGUUAAUUCCGAUAACGAACGAGACUCUGGCCUAUUAAAUAGACGAGCUAUUAAUGAAGUAAGCUCGCGCUUCUUAGAGGGACAAGCGGCGUCUAGCCGCAUGAAAUAGAGCAAUAACAGGUCUGUGAUGCCCUUAGAUGUCCGGGGCUGCACGCGCGCUACACUGAAAGAAUCAGUGUGCGUCAAAACCUAGUUCGGAAGAACCGGGUAACCCAAGUAAAUUCUUUCGUGCUUGGGAUAGGGAAUUGCAAUUAUUUCCCUUAAACGAGGAAUUCCCAGUAAAUGCGGGUCAUAAGCUCGCGUUGAAUACGUCCCUGCCCUUUGUAC
rnacentral:rRNA from 1 species